GGCGAACGGGUGAGUAACACGUGGGUGAUCUGCCCUGCACUCUGGGAUAAGCCUGGGAAACUGGGUCUAAUACCGGAUAGGACCAUGCUUUAGUGUGUGUGGUGGAAAGUUUUUCGGUGUAGGAUGAGCCCGCGGCCUAUCAGCUUGUUGGUGGGGUAAUGGCCUACCAAGGCGGCGACGGGUAGCCGGCCUGAGAGGGUGGACGGCCACAUUGGGACUGAGAUACGGCCCAG
rnacentral:rRNA from 1 species